rnacentral:ncRNA from 1 species
AAUAAUCAAAUAUGAUACUCGGGAUAAGGAUCAAGUUGGUAAUUUUUCUUACAUCUCCCCCUCUCGGAGCCCAGGUAUCAUAUACGCCCCUAAAAUAAAGAGCCUUGAAUACUAGAAGAAAAACACCGGUC